GUGUUGUAAGAAAGGAGAGAAGGUUAUAGCACUCCCCUUGAGAGAAGAAUAGAAGAGAUCUUAGUGGUCUUUACACUACAUAAACGGUUAAGGGAUUGCCACCUACUUCCUGGCAUCUGACCACGUAUUUCC